GGGUGCCGUCAGAAUGAGAGUCAAAACAGCUGAUAAAAACAUCAUAAUUUAUCAAAGUUACAACGGCUGAUGAUUUCCAUGUGAACGAGGAUGACAUUGAAUUUUAUGCACAGCCCUACUUGUUUGAACCAGAAUACUAACUUAAAUUGUUUGCUAGAUUUUCAGUGUGGUGUUCAUGUCACAAUGGAGGUUUCUGUUCCUUUGCACCUGGAGUUCAAACAAACCCACCAACCAUAAACACAUUCUUUAGCAUCAAAAUGCAUAAGACAAAAAAACAUUAGGAACAUGGUCACAUAUUAUUUCAGAUACAAAAACCGAACCAGUGUAAAAAUUCUUGACACAGCUUGACUCAUUUUGCAAAAAAUUCUCAGGUUGCUUCCUUAAUGAGUCACGCAACCCUGUAUUUACCAAAACAAUAAUUUACCAACAGUGAAAGCUUGUAUUUCCAGUAUAGUAUUGUGUGUGAUGCCACACCCUGUAUACAGUACAAAAAAAAAAAAAAAUGUUAAACACAGCAGCCUAUAAGUACACGCAUCUCUGAUGCACACUCAGUUCCUGCCUGACAUCAGACACGAAACAUGGACUUCAUCAAGGGUACAGCGGAUGGGAAAGUGGACAAGUUAAUCGAUCAGGCUGCUGAUGUUGCCAAAGAGAAAGUUGGAGCAAUAAUCGGAGGAGACAAGAAAAAGGCAGGAGGUGCAAAAGGCCAGAAAGAGGGUGGAGACAAAGGCCCCGCUGAUCAGGCUGUGGACAUUGGGAAGGGCCUGUUCAAGUGAGCCUGCAUACUUUGAACAUGAACUUUCUCACUCAUCACUGGACUCUAACUGGACCCCACAAUCCUGCAUUGUUUAAACUUUGUAUGGCAGCACUGAAUGUUUCUCCGGAAGCUGUAUGUUUUAUGUCAUCUUGAAACAGGCAAUGCCUAUAUUUCUGUUAAAUAUGCUGUAGUUAAAGUUAAUUAUAAUUAUUAAUUACACAAAGCCAAUAAAACUGAUGCUUAACGUGAUGCAAAUAAAGAACUGUGUCUCAGAGGGAGAUUGAGUUAGUAUACAUGGUGAGUUUUUUUUUUAUGCUUGAAAUGCUUUCUGUAAUAUUGUUAAACAUGAUGCCAUGUUUUAAGAUAAGACAAACCAGCUAAUACCACAAAACAUCACAGAACUAAUAAAAUCCAUUACUAAUACUUACUGGUGUUUGUGUUGUUGUUGUCCCAUCAAAAUGAUGUCACUUCCUUGUGGAUUGCCUUCAGGAACUGAUUUUGGCUAGUUAAAUGGACAUUUAAAAAAAUAAUAAUAAUGAUAAACGCGCUUGAACGUGCUAUGUAGUCCUUAUUAAUUAACAACAUGACAGAA
ensembl:lncRNA